rnacentral:lncRNA from 1 species
CCAGUUUCCUGCUUAAAACGCUUACAAAAGUACUCUACCCCAUCACGAGUGGUCUGGUGGACCGUCGUCGGCCUGGGUCUAGAUCAUGGUCCCAGUCUGUACAGAGACAAAAAAGAGAAGUCAUCAAACACAAAAUUUGAAAUCAUGUCAAUAUUAUAUUUUAAUAAAUAAAGGUGUUCAGCAAUAUUGCUGAUGCAUACAAAAAUAUAGAAUGUGUAUUAAAACAAAUUAAACAUAAAUCUAUUGAAAUGUUAUCAGUCUAUAAAACGUGUUAAUUAUAGACAUAAAAAUGUAAUCAUGUCUUUAAAAACUAAAAUAUGUAAGUCGUCAUGAAACAUUCUUCUAUAAGUUAAUCAUUUACUUAAAAUUUUGGAAUGAAGUAUAAAAGAUGUUAUUUUUACAUAUCUAUUGCAGUGUUGAGUUGUAGCAGCAGCGUCGUGCUGCAGUACUCGCCAAGUGUUGCAGUAUAUCGCCCCGCUCGCUACAGAGCCCUACUGAUGGGCCGGCCCAGUCAGGACGCUCCCUGUGCGAAGGAGUGGCUACCCGCCGCAACAACCGGCGUGUCCCUUGCUUUUCCUCUCUCCCGCGAAAUCAAUAGUCAGGGAGUACACCUUGCAACGGUUACGCGGGGUGUACUCUGCGCGUGACAAGUGUCGCGUUCUAGGCGCGCUGGAGACCUUUCAACGGUGUUGCGCGUUGUUUUUGAGUACUGAAAUAAGUAUUCAAAUAUUAACGUGGAAGAUCAUUAUAUUGAAUUUUAGAACAUAAACUACUGAUACUGAACUGAGUCAGGUGGUCGUGUUGUUGUUUUUCAAUACGGAGAUUAGUAUUAAAAUAUUAACGUGGAUAAUCUCAAUACUGAAUUGUAGUAGCAAAAGUAGUGAUAUAGAAGUGAGUCGAGUGAUCAUGGUGUUGUUUUUUAGUACUGAAAUGAACAUUGAAAUAUUAAUGACGGUAAUCACAAUACCCAAUUUUAGUAGCAAAAUUAAUGAUACAGAACUGAGUCAGGUCAUCGUCGUAGUGAAAUCAGUACUGAAAUAUAGAACUGAGUCCGGUGAUUGUGGGGUUGUUUUUUAGUUCUGAAAUAAGUAUUGAAAUGUUACAGUGAAUAAUCGCAAUACCGAAUCUUUGUACUGAAUUAGUGAAUUUUAGUACCGAAAUUAGUGAUAUAUAAUUGAGUCACGUGAUCGUCGUACCAAAAUUAGUACUGAAGUAUAGAACCGAGUCGGGUGAUCGUGGGGCUGUUUUGAAGUAGUGAAAUCAAUAUUAAAAUUUAAGGUGGAUAAUCGCAAUACUGAAUUUUAAAAGAGAAACUAGUGAUAUAGAACCGAGUCGGGUGAUCGCGGUGCUAUUUUAAAAUAAUAAAAUCAGUAUUGAAAUAUUAACGUGGAUCUACUAAUAUAGAACUGAGCCAGGUGAUGGUGGUGUUGUUUUUUCAGUACUAGAGUCAAUGUUGAAAUAUUAACGUGGAUAAUCACAAUACUGAAUUUUGGUACAAAAAGUAUAGAACCGAGUCCGGCGAUCAUGAGGUUGCUUUUUAGUAUUGAUAUAUGUGGACAAUCGCAAUACUAAAUUUUAGUACCAAAACUACUGUUAUAGAACUGAUUCGGAUAAUCGUGGUGUUGUUUUGUAAGUACUGAAAUCAGUGUUUGACAUAUUAAGGUGGAUAAUUCCAAUACUGAAUUUGAGUCCAAAAGAUUGUGAUAUAAAACUGAGUCGGGUGAUCGUGGUGCUUCUGGAGCUCUGUAACCAUUUCGCGGGAUGAACAUAGUUCAAAAUGCACGAACUGUCUAGUUGGCACGGGAUGAACAUAUUUCAAAAUGCUAUCUUCACCUAUGAUUGUCUCUCCUUGGUGCAGGGACUUAACUCUUCAUCUCUCAACUGAUCUUUCAAUUGACUCGAUGGUGGCUGACAUUAAGUUGAAUCAUCGAUGGCUUUGCCUCCCUGAUGUUCAAGCAUGUCCGUCGACAUUGUAAUGUAACAGCUCAUUUAUAUUAGCCAAAUCAUGUACCAG